rnacentral:rRNA from 1 species
GUGGGGAAUUUUGGACAAUGGGCGCAAGCCUGAUCCAGCUAUUCCGCGUGUGGGAUGAAGGCCCUCGGGUUGUAAACCACUUUUGUAGAGAACGAAAAGACACCUUUUAAAAAAGGGUGUUGCUGACGGUACUCUAAGAAUAAGCACCGGCUAACUACGUGCCAGCAGCCGCGGUAAUACGUAGGGUGCGAGCGUUAAUCGGAAUUACUGGGCGUAAAGGGUGCGCAGGCGGUUGAGUAAGACAGAUGUGAAAUCCCCGAGCUUAACUCGGGAAUGGCAUAUGUGACUGCUCGACUAGAGUGUGUCAGAGGGAGGUGGAAUUCCACGUGUAGCAGUGAAAUGCGUAGAUAUGUGGAAGAACACCGAUGGCGAAGGCAGCCUCCUGGGACAUAACUGACGCUCAGGCACGAAAGCGUGGGGAGCAAACAGGAUUAGAAACCCCUGUAGUCC